GGUUUCUGCAGUAAUCUCAAACACUAAAGUGUCUGAAUCACCCAGAUGAAGAAAACUCCUGGGCCUGCAGCUUCUGAAGAAUGAUGGCGCCAUGGUGAUUUACAGUCCUCCCUUGCAGAGCUGUUUGAAAAUAAUUAUGACUAUUGAUAGCACGUUCACGGACUCCCUAUUGUAUCAGGGAGCUGGCCGCACAGGAACUGCAGAGCACAGGACACGGUGGUUCAGUAUAAAGAGCAAAAACUCCUGUGUAUCCUGGCUUCUCCCUUACCUCUUUGGAACAGUCCCUCAGAGCUGUCGACUGAAAAACAAACAAUAAAAAACCACAACCUAAAAGUUGAGAGUUAUUUUUCAUUUGGCGGGAAUUUUUAGGACUUCAAGCUCAGGAGGCAGCAUCUCAAGUAACCCUGAGAAAACUGCUCCGAGGAGGCGAGGGGGGAGCCAGGUUACAUAGAAGUUUUGCAACAAAGGGUAGGUAGUUGGGGAGAUCAAAAGAUUAUUGUUAAUGAAAGAAAACCAGGCA